rnacentral:rRNA from 1 species
CCUACGGGAGGCAGCAGUAGGGAAUCUUGCGCAAUGGGCGAAAGCCUGACGCAGCCACGCCGCGUGAUCGAGACGCCCUUCGGGGUGUAAAGAUCUGUCAGUGGGGACGAACCUUGACGGUCCCCACAGCGGAAGCACCGGCUAACUCCGUACCAGCAGCCGCGGUACUACGGGGGGUGCAAGCGUUGUCCGGAAUCAUUGGGCGUAAGGAGUUCGUAGGCGGCACGUAAAUUCUGGGGGUAAAGGCAUAGGUUCAACUUGUGUACGGCAUUUGAUACUUGCGAGCUAGAAUGCGGUAGAGGUGAAGGGAAUGCCUGGUGUAGCGGUGAAAUGCGUAGAUAUCAGGAGGAACAUCGGUUGCGAAGG